rnacentral:rRNA from 1 species
UUGGGCGUAAGCGCGCGCAGGUGGUUCCUUAAGUCUGAUGUGAAAGCCCACGGCUCAACCGUGGAGGGUCAUUGGAAACUGGGGAACUUGAGUGCAGAAGAGGAAAGUGGAAUUCCACGUGUAGCGGUGAAAUGCGUAGAGAUGUGGAGGAACACCAGUGGCGAAGGCGACUUUCUGGUCUGUAACUGACACUGAGGCGCGAAAGCGUGGGGAGCGAACAGGAUUAGAUACCCUGGUAGUCCACGCCGUAAACGAUGAGUGCUAAGUGUUAGAGGGUUUCCGCCCUUUAGUGCUGCAGCUAACGCAUUAAGCACUCCGCCUGGGGAGUACGGCCGCAAGGCUGAAACUCAAAGGAAUUGACGGGGGCCCGCACAAGCUGUGGAGCAUGUGGUUUAAUUCGAAGCAACGCGAAGAACCUUACCAGGUCUUGACAUCCUCUGACAACCCUAGAGAUAGGGCCUUCCCUUUCGGGGGACAGAGUGACAGGUGGUGCAUGGUUGUCGUCAGCUCGUGUCGUGAGAUGUUGGGUUAAGUCCCGCAACGAGCGCAACCCUUGAUCUUAGUUGCCAGCAUUCAGUUGGGCACUCUAAGGUGACUGCCGGUGACAAACCGGAGGAAGGUGGGGAUGACGUCAAAUCAUCAUGCCCCUUAUGACCUGGGCUACACACGUGCUACAAUGGAUGGUACAAAGAGCCCGCAAACCCGCGAGGGCAAGCUAAUCUCAUAAAGCCAUUCUCAGUUCGGAUUGCAGGCUGCAACUCGCCUGCAUGAAGCC